UCCCUUAGUUUAAGGGCGAGUGAAGAGGGAAGAGCCCAAGAUUGAAAGCUGGCGCUUUCGGCGUCCGCAUUGUAAUCUCAAGAAGUGUUUUCCGCUUCGGACCAUGCCUAAGUCCCUUGGAAAAGGGCAUCAUAGAGGGUGAUAAUCCCGUACAUGGCAUGGAGCGCCCGAAGCUUUGUGAUACGCUUUCUAAGAGUCGAGUUGUUUGGGAAUGCAGCUCAAAAUGGGUGGUAAAUGCCAUCUAAGGCUAAAUAUUGGGGAGAGACCGAUAGCGAACAAGUACAGUGAUGGAAAGAUGAAAAGAACUUUGAAAAGAGAGUUAAACAGUACGUGAAAUUGCCAAAAGGGAAGGGUAGGAGGUCAGAGAUGCGUCGCAGGAUUCAGCCUUGCUUUUGCUUGGUGUUUUUCCUGCGUUGCAGGCCAACGUCGGUUUUGGGCACUGGAGAAGGGUAGGAGGAACGUGGCACCUCUCGGGGUGUGUUAUAGCCUCCUACUGGAUACAGCGACCGAGACCGAGGAACGC
rnacentral:rRNA from 1 species